rnacentral:rRNA from 1 species
UGCUCAGGACGAACGCUGGCGGCGUGCCUAAUACAUGCAAGUCGAGCGAACAGAAGGGAGCUUGCUCCCGGAUGUUAGCGGCGGACGGGUGAGUAACACGUGGGUAACCUGCCUGUAAGACUGGGAUAACUUCCGGGAAACCGGAGCUAAUACCGGAUAGUUCCUUGAACCGCAUGGUUCAAGGAUGAAAGACGGUUUCGGCUGUCACUUACAGAUGGACCCGCGGCGCAUUAGCUAGUUGGUGGGGUAAUGGCUCACCAAGGCAACGAUGCGUAGCCGACCUGAGAGGGUGAUCGGCCACACUGGGACUGAGACACGGCCCAGACUCCUACGGGAGGCAGCAGUAGGGAAUCUUCCGCAAUGGACGAAAGUCUGACGGAGCAACGCCGCGUGAGUGAUGAAGGUUUUCGGAUCGUAAAGCUCUGUUGUUAGGGAAGAACAAGUGCGAGAGUAACUGCUCGCACCUGACGGAC